rnacentral:antisense_RNA from 16 species
CGGCGCAUGGCGGGGCAUCCCCGCCAGCGCUUGACCAUCAACCGCCUGCAAAGGAGGCAAACCAAUGGCUAC